rnacentral:rRNA from 1 species
UACGUAGGGAGCAAGCGUUGUCCGGAAUCAUUGGGCGUAAAGCGCGCGUAGGCGGCCCUGUAAGUCCGUUGUGAAAGUCAAAGGCUCAACCUUUGAAAGCCGAUGGAUACUGCAGGGCUAGAGUCUGGAAGAGGCGAGUGGAAUUCCCGGUGUAGCGGUGAAAUGCGCAGAUAUCGGGAAGAACACCCGUGGCGAAGGCGGCUCUCUGGGACGGUACUGACGCUGAGACGCGAAAGCGUGGGGAGCGAACAGG